rnacentral:rRNA from 1 species
UACGGAGGGGGCGAGCGUUAUUCGGAAUUAUUGGGCGUAAAGGGCUCGUAGGCGGCCAACUAAGUCGGAUGUGAAAUCCCCAGGCUCAACCUGGGAACUGCAUCCGAUACUGGAUGGCUUGAAUUCGGGAGAGGGAUGCAGAAUUCCAGGUGUAGCGGUGAAAUGCGCAGAUAUCAGGAAGAACACCCGUGGCGAAGGCGGCUCUCUGGGACGGUACUGACGCUGAGACGCGAAAGCGUGGGGAGCGAACAGG